AUUGAACGCUGGCGGCAGGCCUAACACAUGCAAGUCGAACGAGUGGCGGACGGGUGCGUAAUGUAUGGGAAACUGCCUGAUGGAGAGGGAUAACUACUGGAAAAGGUAGCUAAUACCGCAUACCAUCAGAUGUGGCCAUAUUGGAUUAGCUAGUAGGUUGGGUAACGGCUCUCCUAGGCGACGAUCCCUAGCUGGUCUGAGAGGAUGACCAGCAACACUGGAACUGAGACACGGCCCAGACUCCUGCGGGAGGCAGCAGUGGGGAAUUUUGAACAAGUGGCGCAACCCGGAUGCAGCCAUGCCGCGUGUAUGAAGAAGGCCUUCGGGUUGUAAAGCACUUUCGGCGUGGAAGCGGUACCCGCAGAAGAAGCACCGGCUAAAUCCGUGCCAGCAGCCGCGGUAAUAC
rnacentral:rRNA from 1 species